rnacentral:lncRNA from 10 species
CAAGAACCCACCAGUUCUGGACACAAUUUCAAGUCCUCAGGCAAUCUAGAUGCUGGGGACACAAGGUCCACCUUCCAGGAAUAUGGCCAUGACACCAGAAAUCACAAACAUGAUGAGAAUGGAAUGACUGGGGAAGAAGUGCCAGAUGCUUCACUUGUAAAUGAAGACCCAGCCUCUGGGGAUGCAGAUACCACCUCCCUGAAGAAGCUGAAUAUCUGCAGAUAAGUGGAGUUCACCAAUGAUGAGGAGCGGGAUGGAGAAAGGAGGUAGGGAGAGUCAUCCAAGGAACAUGAGCAACAUGUUAAAAGCCAAGUGGUUUAAUUUCUGGAGAUGGUGAACCCAAGAGGCUCUGCUGGGAGACAACAAAAAUAAUGAAG